UGUUAUAUCUAAGUCUUUACUAACUAGUCACAUUAUUAAACACUGCAAGGAUCAAGAAAAGUUAAGUUAUAAAUAAAAUAAACAGCCCAAGGAAGUGUUCCAGUCCCCAUAGGUAGACUCAGGGUCAUCUUCUUUAUUUAAAUCUUUAUUUAAAUGUGGAUAGCAUCCCCAGAGACUUGGGGCUACACUGAGAAUAUUCAAAUCCAUGUUUCUAAAACCAUCAGAGAUAGAAAAAAAAAUUAGCAAAUAUCCCUUUUCAACUGGAAUAAACUUGUCUUAAUUCUAGAACUUUUCCAUGCCAAUGUUUUCAUGCUUCCUUUGUGUUUUAUCUUUUAGCUCAUUAUCAAAUUAUAGUGAUUUGAAGAAAGAUUCUGCUGUGAACCUCAAUGCUUCUAGAACCCCAGGAAGGCAUGGAUUGACAACCACACCUCCACAAAAACUCCUCUCCCCGCAGUUGCCACAGAGGCAGGGAAAUGAGACAGAUAAGACUCAGGGUGCACAGACUUGUGUGGCCAAUGGUGUAAUGGCAGCACAAAACCAGAUGGAAUGUGAGGAGGAGAAAGCUGCCACUCUUAGCCCAGAUACUUCUAUUCAAGCUUCUGAACCCUUGCUUGAUACGCACAUAGUGAAUGGAGAAAGAGAUGAAACUGCCACAGCUCCUGCAUCACCCACAGCAGAUGACUGUGAUGGAAAUGCUUCUGACAGUAGCUACAGGACUCCAGGCAUAGGCCCAGUGCUCCCCCUAGAAGAAAGAGGGGCAGAAACAGAAGCCAAGGUACAAAAGAGGCAAAAUGGGGAAAGCCCUCUGGAACUGGAGCAGCUGGACCAGCACCAUGAGAUGAAGGUAGAGCAUGAAACUAGCUCCAGC